AACGAACGCUGGCGGCAGGCCUAACACAUUGCAAGUCGAGCGCACCUUCGGGUGAGCGGCGGACGGGUUAGUAACGCGUGGGAACGUACCCUUUUCUACGGAAUAGCCUUUGGAAACGAAGAGUAAUACCGUAUACGCCCUUUGGGGGAAAGAUUUAUCGGAGAAGGAUCGGCCCGCGUUAGAUUAGAUAGUUGGUGGGGUAACGGCCUACCAAGUCUACGAUCUAUAGCUGGUUUUAGAGGAUGAUCAGCAACACUGGGACUGAGACACGGCCCAGACUCCUACGGGAGGCAGCAGUGGGGAAUCUUAGACAAUGGGCGCAAGCCUGAUCUAGCCAUGCCGCGUGAGUGAUGAAGGCCUUAGGGUCGUAAAGCUCUUUCGCCUGUGAUGAUAAUGACAGUAGCAGGUAAAGAAACCCCGGCUAACUCCGUG
rnacentral:rRNA from 1 species